AUUUUUCAACGCCAAAUUUGUCUACUUCCUACUCAGCAUUUCAGUUUUCUUUCACAUUCAGCUAUCGAGUCUAGAGGUUGUGGAGGAACCUAAUUUCCCACCAUGGUGAACGGCAGGAUCCCCACUGUAUGCUCGAAAACUUACGUCACUCCGCGGCGUCCUUACGAAAAGGCUCGUUUGGACCAGGAGUUGAAAAUUAUUGGUGCAUUUGGACUCCGCAACAAACGCGAAGUAUGGAGAGUAAAGUACACUCUGGCCAAAAUCCGUAAAGCUGCUCGUGAGCUGCUAACUUUAGAAGAGAAAGACCCGAAAAGGUUGUUUGAAGGAAAUGCUCUUUUACGUCGUCUUGUACGUAUUGGGGUACUGGAUGAAGGCAGGAUGAAGCUUGAUUACGUAUUGGGUCUCAAAAUUGAAGACUUCUUGGAAAGACGUCUCCAGACACAGGUUUUCAAGCUUGGUUUGGCCAAGUCCAUCCAUCAUGCCCGUGUUUUAAUCAGACAGCGGCACAUUCGGUAAUGCUAUUUCCCACGUUGAUUUGAAAAUAAUUCUUACAGGCCACUUAGUUGAACAACUAAUGCCUUGAAAUUUGCUUAUGUUGAGCUAAUUACAGAGUUCGCAAACAAGUGGUAAAUAUCCCAUCGUUUGUUGUCCGUCUAGACUCGCAAAAACAUAUCGACUUCUCGUUGAAGUCGCCCUUCGGUGGUGGCCGCCCUGGCCGUGUUAAGAGGAAGAACCUCCGCAAGGGAACUAGCGGUGCUGCUGCUGAAGAGGAAGAAGAUUAGAUAACUAAUUAACAUGUCAUAAGAGAUGUUAAUAAAAAGUAUAUCGGAA
rnacentral:misc_RNA from 1 species